rnacentral:rRNA from 1 species
UAAGACGAAGGUGGCAAGCGUUGUUCGGAAUCACUGGGCUUAAAGGGCACGUAGGCGGAGUAGUAAGCGCUUUGUGAAAGCCCCCGGCUUAACCGGGGAAAUGCUUGGCGAACUGCUGUUCUUGAGGCAAGCAGGGGUGCGUGGAACUCUUGGUGGAGCGGUGAAAUGCGUAGAUAUCAAGAGGAACGCCGGUGGAGAAAUCGGCGCACUGGGCUUGUGCUGACGCUGAGGUGCGAAAGCGUGGGGAGCGAACGGGAUUAGAUACCCCGGUAGUCCACGCCGUAAACGAUGCCUACUAGGUUGCGGGGACUCUGACGUUCUCGCGGCCGAAGCGAAAGUGUUAAGUAGGCCGCCUGGGGAGUACGGUCGCAAGGCUA